CUGAAAAAUUUACCGUCGCGUCUACUUCUCAUUGAGCUCGAGGGCCAGGUGAAUAGAGAAGCAGAAAAGGCUGAAGCACGUGAAUAAAGGAUAUGCUUUGUGCUUGAAAUCCUCACGAACCAAUUCCAAUACAGAGCCAAAGAAGGAAGAGGAUGCUGAAAACUGUAGUUUCAGCUUAGUCACAGACUCCAUGAAAAAGUUUUCCUCAACUCGCAGGUCGUAGAAAAAGUUUGCUUUUAUCUUUUGGACACCAUGAAUGACAUAACUGAUCAUGUUUCUUUCACUGCUCAGGACCAAAUUUUGCAGACCACAUCUUAUAACCGUAUAGGUGCUGUGACAUUCAUUUUCCAUGCUAAUCUUCCUCCGGCUUUAUUUUCUUUUUCUUGUUGCCCUCCCCUCAAUUACUUGUUUUAUUCUGUUGCAUAUAUUUUCAUAAG